CUGCAGCUUAUUAACCUGACCAGUCUUGCUGCAGUCCAGUUCUGGUGUGCAAGGGCUGCAGACAGUGGCCACGUCUGAAUACCCAUACUAGCGCAGGGCUCGACAUGUUGAAAUAAUA